UCCCUUCAGGAGGAUGCUCUAGGGGUGCAGGAGUGGCAAGGUGAUGUGGGAUGUGAUGUGUGCUUUGAGCAGGCCUGGUUGCUUGCUGUUAGGAUCCAAAACUGAGUCGAGGUGGUGAUAUAUUUUCAGCUCUCCUUAAUGUCAGGAGGCAUCAUUGCUCUUCAAAGUGGCAAAUAUGAACACAGAUACGAGCUCUACUUGCUUAGACUCUCAUUUUGGAGCCAGGGUCUCACAACCCGUCAGAAGACCGUGAAGUUUCCCAUGCUACAGGGGAAUGCGUAAAUCUCGAUUAAAUUGUUCAUUUCAUUGAGACUUGAGAAUACAACGAAACCAGUUGUGUUGUUCCACCAAAAGUAAUAAAACAGGCUGAUGUUGUUCCUCAACUA